rnacentral:rRNA from 1 species
UACGAAGGGGGCUAGCGUUGCUCGGAAUCACUGGGCGUAAAGCGCACGUAGGCGGCUUUUUAAGUCAGGGGUGAAAUCCUGGAGCUCAACUCCAGAACUGCCUUUGAUACUGAGAAGCUUGAGUCCGGGAGAGGUAAGUGGAACUGCGAGUGUAGAGGUGAAAUUCGUAGAUAUUCGCAAGAACACCAGUGGCGAAGGCGGCUUACUGGUCCGGUUCUGACGCUGAGGCGCGAAAGCGUGGGGAGCAAACAGG